rnacentral:rRNA from 1 species
GACGAACCGUGCGAACGUUGUUCGGAAUCACUGGGCAUAAAGGGCGCGUAGGCGGCUUAUCAAGUCAGGGGUGAAAUCCGGCAGCUCAACUGUCGAAGUGCCUUUGAUACGGAUGAGCUCGAGGGAGGUAGGGGUCUGUGGAACUUCCGGUGGAGCGGUGAAAUGCGUUGAUAUCGGAAGGAACGCCGGUGGCGAAAGCGACGGACUGGACCUCUUCUGACGCUGAGGCGCGAAAGCUAGGGGAGCAAACGGG